rnacentral:lncRNA from 1 species
UUUAAUAUAAUAAAAGUGCGCCUGAAGAGAGGCAACACUUUGUACUCGGUCGAUAAAAUCAUUUCCUACAUAAUAAAACGUAGACAAUAAUUUGAUAUUAAUAGAUGGCGUUUGUAAGCAGUAAUACUAACGAGUAUAAAGUGAUGCCUAUCUUCAGGUACACAAUGUUUAUUUAAAUAAAUAAUUAUUAAUAUAAAUAAUAUAUGUCGAAAAAGUAAACGAAUAUAAACUUCUUUAUAAUCAUUAUUUUUAUCAAAGUGGUCAGAGGAAGUGUUGAUUUUUUUACUGCACAUUGGGAAUCAUUGGCGAUAUUCCAAAAUAACUGGACUGCAGCAUUUGCAAAUUCGGCGUCUCUUAUCUGUAAUUUAUGCUCACCGUAGUUUCAUUUUAAAACCGUACCAAGAUAGAGUUUCAAACCGUUCGAGAUACGAAUAUGUAACUAUUAGACAUAUUAAAGCAAUGUAAU